CUAUUUGUAACGAGCGGCCAACAUGUUUCUAGUGGACAAGGCAUUUGCUUUCAGCUGGGGACUGAUUGGGUCUUCUGCAUUUAUGUAAACACACCCUAAAUCAGUUUCUCUUUUGGAAAGAUUAUUUGGUUAGGAAAACCCGUAGAGCGACUGUCUACCCCAGAGAAGAGCAACAGCCAUCAGACCCUCGUGGUACUCAGCAGCACCUCCUGGUCACCGUUUGAGGUGGGGGGUUACGGGCGCGGCGGGGGUGGAGUGAGUUCUCCAAGGGAGAAAACGAUUAGCCUAGACACAUGCCCUGGAACGCUUUCCCUAUGCACUUGCUGAAAGGGUUCAACGCGUAGAUUUCUCAGGGCAGCCCUGAGAUGAUGAAAUAACCUACAAUCUGAGAUCGUAGGUAUCAGACCCAAAGCAGUUCCCCCAAAACCUUAGCAGUUUUGCUCACUAGCCAGAGGCAGUCAGCCUCGCCUCAGCUUCCCGGGCGGCGCCGACGAUCACGCAGGGAUGGGGACCACCUGGCUCAGCGAAUCGCCGUGAUGGUUCUCCUGCUGGUAUCCUCUUCACCUGGAGCCAGUUCACUUACAGACCAGUUCUGCUUCGCAAAGAAAGCCUUCUUUGCAGAUCAUCUCAGGGUAUUUGUGCCAACCUCCGGGUGUGGAAAGUUCCCACACCGAGAAAGUCUGGCAGGGGCCCCUCCGGCGGGGACACCAGCGGGUGGCGGGGAGGGUGCGGGGGGCCGCGCAGCGCGGCCAGCGGGGGUGGGGCCCGCGCCCGGCUGCCCCCGGGAGGUCGCCUAUUUAGGACGCAGGGGCGGGCAGGAGCGGCAGGGGUGUGCUGAUGGCUGCCCUGGGGGACGAGGUGCUGGACGCUUACAUGUACCCGGCGUGCGCCCUCUACUCGUACCCGUACCCCUACCCCUACCCGGCCGCCGCCAAGGGCAAGGGAGCGGCGGGCGGGGGAGGCUGGCGGCACCGGGACGGCGGCUACCCUCCCGUUUCCUCCUCCUCUGACGGCGCGGCCUCGUCGUCUUUCCCGGGCUACGGGCAGCUGGCGGCCGCCGAGUACUUCCACAGCUACCAGCGGGCGCAGCUCAUGGCCCUCCUGUCGCAGGUGGGCCCCGGCCUCGCCCCGCGGCCCGGCCGGGCCAGCAUUCGGGACGUGGCCGUGCAGGUGAACCCGCGCCGCGACGUCUCCGUGCAGUGCUCGCUGGGGCGGCGUACGCUGCUGCGCAGGGCCCGCGAGCCCGGCCCUGACCCCGAGGGCGCAGCGGGCGCGGGCGGCAGCUGCCCGGCCUCCCCGCAGCUGGUCCGCCGGGGCCCCGAGCAGGGCAGCCCGCCGAGCGGCGUCCCGCGGCCCGUGCGCUUCCCGCGCACCGUGGCGGUGUACUCGCCCGUGGCCUCCCGCCGCCUUGCUACCCUCCUGGAAGGGGCCGAGACUGCGGCGGCCGAGCAGAGGCCCGGGGCGCCGGACGGAGAGCUAGGGCCGCCAGCUGCGAGGCCCCGAGGCCCCGAGGAGGGAGAGGGGUCGGCGAGGAAGGAGCCCCAACGGCCGCAGUCCGAGGAGGACGAGGCCCAGGCCGGGGUACCGGCGAGCAGGGAGCAGCCCCCGCUGGUGGCCGGCGCCGCGGGCGAGAGGUGGUCGCCGCGGAGCCCCCAGCCGGGCAAGGAGCGCCUGCGCUUCCAGUUCUUAGAACAGAAGUAUGGCUACUAUCACUGCAAGGACUGCAACAUCCGAUGGGAAAGUGCCUACGUGUGGUGUGUACAGGGCACUAACAAGGUUUACUACAAGCAGUUUUGCAGAACAUGUCAGAAGUCUUAUAACCCUUACCGAGUGGAGGAUAUCACCUGUCAAAAUUGUAAACAGACUAGAUGCUCCUGCCCAGUAAAAGUUCGCCACGUGGACCCCAAAAGGCCCCACCGUCAAGAUUUGUGUGGGAGAUGCAAAGGCAAACGCCUAUCCUGUGACAGCACUUUCAGUUUCAAAUAUAUCAUUUAAAUGAAUGUGAAAAAACCAAAACACUGGUCCUGCUGAACGUGUGCUAGUGGAGCAGACAAAUUAUUUGACAAUUUCUUUAUGACAGAGCAGGAUUUGGAGUCAGCUUUCCAAGCAAUAAAUGACGAACGUUAUCUCCAAUGAAUAUUGAAUACAGAAGCCAAAUGUGGAUUUUCCUUUUCCAGGGGCUAGUCCUAAAGAUGGAUAUUUAUUUAAGGUACCUUUUCCUCGGUCAGAUAAAAAGAAAAUAAUAGCACUAUGGUUUAGUGGGGAAAAAACACUGGAGUCAUAGAAUUUCCAAGCUAAAGUGAAAGCUUAGAGCCUGCAAGUUAAGCUCCUAGGUUUCGACGGUUUGAUAUUAUUAAUAUUACCAGUUCUUUUGACUUCCUAGUUCUUUUUGUGUGAUAGAUUAAAUAUAAUAAAACUAAUAUAUAUAUAUCGAUGAAGUCAUUAGGACUUUGAG